rnacentral:tRNA from 2 species
GUCGCGGUCGUCCAGUAGCAGGACCCCGGCCUCCGAAACCGGUGACGCAGGUGCGAUUCCUGUCCGCGACU